rnacentral:rRNA from 1 species
CCUACGGGCGGCAGCAGUGAGGAAUAUUGGUCAAUGGGCGCAAGCCUGAACCAGCCAAGUCGCGUGAGGGAUGACGGUCCUAUGGAUUGUAAACUUCUUUUGUCGGGGAGCAAGGCCCGCCACGUGUGGCGGGAAGGAGAGUACCCGAAGAAAAAGCAUCGGCUAACUCCGUGCCAGCAGCCGCGGUAUUACGGAGGAUGCGAGCGUUAUCCGGAUUUAUUGGGUUUAAAGGGUGCGUAGGCGGACGGUUAAGUCGGCGGUAAAAUGUCGGUGCUCAACACCGGCCUGCCGUUGAAACUGGUCGUCUUGAGAUAGCGAGAAGUAUGCGGAAUGCGUGGUGUAGCGGUGAAAUGCUUAGAUAUCGCGCAGAACUCCGAUUGCGAAGGCAGCAUACCGGCGCUCAACUGACGCUGAUGCACGAAAGUGUGGGUAUCGAACAGGAUUAGAUACCCUUGUAGUC